UACGUAGGGUGCAAGCGUUGUCCGGAAUUAUUGGGCGUAAAGAGCUCGUAGGCGGUCUGUCGCGUCUGCUGUGAAAUCUCAGGGCUUAACCCUGAGCUUGCAGUGGGUACGGGCAGACUAGAGUGCGGUAGGGGAGACUGGAAUUCCUGGUGUAGCGGUGAAAUGCGCAGAUAUCAGGAGGAACACCGGUGGCGAAGGCGGGUCUCUGGGCAGUAACUGACGCUGGAGGAGCGAAAGCGUGGGGAGCGAACAGG
rnacentral:rRNA from 1 species